GCAUAAAGAUGAUGUAAGCCGAGCUAUGGCGCUUGCGGUGGUGGUGAUAAGCUGUUGUUCCAGUCGUUCAGGUGUAAUGUACAAUAGCAUUUUUCCUAGGGAGGUUAGUGUACUGGAUGCGACCUGUACAUUGUGAAGUUGCGGUGCACCACGGGUUGCCGUCUGAAUCCUGGUUUUGUAAUCGCACUACAAUGAUCACUGACCAAGGCAAGGCAGCCGUAAAGGAGGUGCUAGUAUUUUGCCUGCCUGUGCCAUGUUCUGUUUCUCGAGAAGUCUUGACAGGGCUGAGAGUCCCUGCAAAUUCAGACCAUGCUGUUGAAAGUUGAAAUUAAAUCAAGUUGUAGUAUGUUUUGAACUUAUCAAAAAACUGAAUUGUCGGAGACUUUGGAAAGCACUGUUCCGGGAAUACUUUUAAGACAGAAAAAGCAGAGUUAAUUCUUUGAUUGUUUGUUCGUCGCGCUUCGUGGGUACCUUUUGUCCUUUGCAGGGUGCAGCAGGCACAUCUAUCUCUAAGCUCUUUCCCAUUGUCACUCUGCUCCCCUGACUAUUAGCAGCAGCAGCGACUUAUGCAUGGGCUAGGAACAAGGAGAUGUGGAAUGUCGCCAAAUUUUUGUUUUGGCCUCGACUUGGCCAGAGCAGGGCUAUGCGAAAUACCUCACGACGGCUCUUUCCUGUUUCUGAUGCAACACAGAAACUGACUGCACAGAACGUUUUUAAACAGCAAAGCUGCAAGCAAGAUGCUGACUUUGGAAGUUUGGAGAUUUGGCCGUCGUGGCCUCGCCGGCGACGACAUGUACCCUGGUCCAGCCACCUGCAGCGGCCGGCGCAUCGCUAGCCCUGACGCGGGAGUAUAUAGCAAAAAACUACCACAUUACAGGAGGGUUACAAAAAACCCACCACUUUUCUUAAAUUUUCAAAAAACUAUCACAAAUUUGGUUGGCUAUUCCAAAAAACCCUAGUCACCAAACGGUUAAAAUAUAUGCCUGAUUAUGACAUGUAGGGCCUGCCCGUCAAGUCCACGUCGAAUAUGGCUAACGACCCGCGUGCUCACGGCCGUUAGGGCGCAUCCGUUCCGACCGGGUCAGGACCACCCGAGCUAUCUCCUCUCUCCCCCUCGUUCAUUCUGUCCCCCUCCUCGGUCUGGUAGACCUAGGCAUUGUAGUCAUAACAGUAGAAUAGGAUACUAAUCAAAAUANNNNNNNNNNNNNNNNNNNNNNNNNNNNNNNNNNNNNNNNNNNNNNNNNNNNNNNNNNNNNNNNNNNNNNNNNNNNNNNNNNNNNNNNNNNNNNNNNNNNNNNNNNNNNNNNNNNNNNNNNNNNNNNNNNNNNNNNNNNNNNNNNNNNNNNNNNNNNNNNNNNNNNNNNNNNNNNNNNNNNNNNNNNNNNNNNNNNNNNNNNUGGAAGUGGAUAACUGGCCGGGCAGCGGCAGCUUCGCAACGCAUCCGCCUCAGCAGCCUACACUUCCGGCGCCGCCACAACCUGCAGUGUCGUCGCGGAGGCAGCCUACGCCCUCUGCACCGGCGAAUCAGGAGCUGUUGCUUGAGUACAGAGUGGCCAGGGUUUUGCUGGCGCCAUCGCCGCGGAUCCGGCGAACUCCCACCGACGAGCCUCAGCAUUUGGAGGGGUUGAGUAAGUUUUCUUUCUUCUCUUCAUCUACUCCUUGACUUGAAUGGAGCUAGUUGUGGAUGCCAGAACUUCAGUUUAGUUUGAGGUAGGGCUAGGUUCGUAGGUGGAUCAUGAAAUCUUUAGUUAAGUUUGACUAUAUGUUAGUUUAAUGCAGUAGUGAUUCAGAUUAGUAGAUGUAUUUAGUUGGAUGCAGUAGUGAUUCAGAUUACUAGAUGGAUUUUGUACUCAGUGUGCAUGGUUCAGAUAGGUUUUGUUACUGAAUUUUAUUACUCAUUAGCUCUGCAAUACUGAAUUUUGUUACUCAGUGGGAUAAAUAUGGAUGUAGUUAUAGAUGCAAUACUGAAUUUUUUAGUUAGCGGGCUAAAUAUGGAUGUAGUACUAUUGGGCCACUACUGAAUUUUGUUGUAGUAGAUUUAUUCAGUUAGUUUUUUUAUUGUGUACAAGUUAGAAAGAGUUGUGAAGUAACAUUGUAUAUAAUACAGGCUGGAUGAUGACAUUUGGGAGGUGAGGCUACAUUUCAAGGGCAGAAACAACAUGGAAAGAAGCUUCUCUCUUUGAGACAUCACAUUUCUCAAUUUGAUUGCACUUAUUGAGACUGAAGGGUAUGGGUUAGAUGACUACAUGUACUAUGUGAAGAAAGUAGGAAUUGGACAGGAUGGGUUAUUGCUUCUGGACAGUCAAGAGGCAAUAGAAGAAAUGAUUGACCACUCUGAUUUCACAGUUCUGGAUAUCCUAGUGGCGAAGGCUAAUGAAGACAGAGAUGUUGAAUUUAGUAGGGGUAACAAUGUUUAUGAAGAANNNNNNNNNNNNNNNNNNNNNNNNNNNNNNNNNNNNNNNNNNNNNNNNNNNNNNNNNNNNNNNNNNNNNNNNNNNNNNNNNNNNNNNNNNNNNNNNNNNNNNNNNNNNNNNNNNNNNNNNNNNNNNNNNNNNNNNNNNNNNNNNNNNNNNNNNNNNNNNNNNNNNNNNNNNNNNNNNNNNNNNNNNNNNNNNNNNNNNNNNNNNNNNNNCUCUUGAAGCAAAUCUAAACACACAACAUAGUUGCAAUUUGAACACUACAUAAGCUCAUUCUGAAGAUGAGGCUGGCGGUGAAGAUGGAGAUGCCUGUGGAGAAGAUGAGAUGGACAAAUCAUCUUCAGACUUUGAGAUUGAUAGGGGCGAUUACAGAGGCAUAAAGAUGUCUUACAAGGGUUGGAAGAGAGGUGAAGAAAAUGCUGUCAAUGAAGAAGAAAAUUAUGUUGCACAUGAGAGGCCAGAGUUUGAAGGGGAUAGUGAUGUUUUAGAGUUUUGGCAGGAGGAUAAAAGAGGAUGAUAGUGCAGAGGAAACUUCUAUGGUACAAGUCAGGCCUCAGAAACUAAAGCCUAUAAGAAGAGGAGCACUAAACCCAGGACCUACUUCCAAAGCUCACAGUAAGCCAGAGAUCACCAAGUUUGAAGAUUUGUACCUGAAGCUGAUGAAUUUUGCUUCCUUGGUGAUGAUGGCAUUUUUGAUUUAGAUGCAGAGGUACCACUACUACCUUUUGGAUGGAAGAGAAGAUUGAAGAAGAAGGAGAGGAAAUGGUAUGACCCAUUGUUGGGGAACGUAGCAUGCAAUUUCAAAAAAUUUCCUACGAUCAUGCAAGAUCUAUCUAGGAGAUGGAUAGCAAUGAGACGGGGAGAGUGUGUCCACGUACCCUCGUAGACCGAAAGCGGAAGCGUUAUGUUAACGCGGUUGAUGUAGUCGAACGUCUUCACGAUCCAACCGAUCCAAGUACCGAACAUACGACACCUCCGUGUUCAACACACGUUCAACUCGAUGACGUCUCUCGAGCUCUUGAUCCAGUAGAGGGCCGAGGGAGAGUUCCGUCAGCACGACAGAGUGGCGACGGUGUUGGUGAUGUGAUCCACGCAGGGCUUCACCUAAGCACUACGACACUAUGACCGAGGUGGUAAACUGUGGAGGGGGGCACCACACAUGGCUAAGGAACAAUUGAUGUGUCCCUAAGGGGUUCCCUGCCCACGUAUAUAAAGGAGGGAGAGGGAGGAGGCCGUCCCUAUGGGGCGCGCCAUAAGGGGGGAGUCCUACUAGGACUCCCAGUCCUAGUAGGAUUUGCCCCCCCUCUUUUCCUUCUCAUGGAGGUGGAAAGGGGGAAGGAGAGGAAGUAGGAGAAGGAAAGGGGGGUGGCGCCCCCUUCCCUAAACCAAUUCGGCCUCCUCCCUUGUGGGGGGUGCACCAGACCCUUGUGGGCUGGUUAGCCUCCCUCCUAUGGCCCAUAUCUUUCCCCGUGGGGUUCCGGUAACCCCUCCGGUACUCCGGUAUGUACCCGAUACACUCCGGAACCCUUUCGGUGCCCGAAUACUACCUUCCAAUAUAUCAAUCUUUACCUCUUGAUCAUUUCGAGACUCCUCGUCAUGCCCGUGAUCUCAUCCGAGACUCCGAACAAUCUUAGGUCACCAAAACACAUAACUCAUAAUACAAAUCGUCAUCGAACGUUAAGUGUGCAGACCCUACGGGUUCGAGAACUAUGUAGACAUGACCGAGACACAUCUCCGGUCAAUAACCAAUAGUGGAACCUGGAUGCUCAUAUUGGCUCCUACAUAUUCUACGAAGAUCUUUAUCGGUCAAACCGCAUAACAACAUACGCCAUUCCCUUUGUCAUUGGUAUGUUACUUGCCCGAGAUUCGAUCGUCGGUAUGAUCAUACCUAGUUCAAUCUCGUUACCAGCAAGUCUCUUUACUCGUUUCGAAAUGCAUCAUCCCGUAACUAACUCAUUAGUCACAUUGCUUGCAAGGCUUAUAGUGAUGUGCAUUACCGAGAGGGCCCAGAGAUACCUCUCCGAUACACGGAGUGACAAAUCCUAAUCUUGAUCUAUGCCAACUCAGCAAACACCUUCGGAGACACCUGUAGAGCAUCUUUAUAAUCACCCAGUUACGUCGAAGUUUGAUAGCACACAAAGUGUUCCUCCGGUAUUCGGGAGUUGCAUAAUCUCAUAGUCAGAGGAAUAUGUAUAAGUCAUGAAGAAAGCAAUAGCAAUAAAACUAAAUGAUCAUAAUGCUAAGCUAACGGAUGGGUCUUGUCCAUCACAUCAUUCUCUAAUGGUGUGAUCCCGUUCAUCAAAUGACAACACAUGUCUAUGGUUAGGAAACUUAACCAUCUUUGAUUAACGAGCUAGUCUAGUAGAGGCAUACUAGGGACACUCUGCUUUGUCUAUGUAUUCACACAUGUACUAAGUUUCCGGUUAAUACAAUUCUAGCAUGAAUAAUAAACAUUUAUCAUGAUAUAAGGAAAUAUAAAAUAACAAAUUUAUUAUUGCCUCUAGGGCAUAUUUCCUUCACCCAUUACUAUCUGUGUAAGGACCCUUUCUUCACCAAUGUCUAUGAGUUCAGAAAGACACUAAGAAAUUAUCAUGCUAGGACAUUGAGAAACUUUCAGUAUCAUAGGAAUGAACCAACAAGGAUUAUUGUUUGGUGCCCAGAUAGAAAGAAUGGUUGUGAUUUUUUCAUGAUUGCAUCCAAAGUAGCCCAUGAAGAUAUAGUCACAAUCAAGAAGUGCCACAUGGAUCACACUUGUGGAGCUAGUGGAGAGAGUACCAAGGUGACUGCACAAUGGGUUGCAAAAGUUGUUGGGGACACAGUUCGAUGAAAUUUAAAGGCUGAUGUUGACACAAUUCUCAAACAUACAAAGAAGAAGUUUAGGGUUCAUGUUCCUAGGAGUUUGGUCUAUAGGGCUAGGCUCAUGGCUGUUGAUGUUGUGCAAGGUGAUCAUAGUGACCAAUAUUUCAGGUUGAGGGACUACCUCCAAUGUGUGCUUGACACAAACGCUGGAAGCAGGUACAUGUUCUACUGCCUCUAGGCUUCCAAGGAUGGAUUCCUUAAUGGUUGUAGGCCUUUCAUAGGUAACUUUAAGUUAUUUACUCCUCUUUUCAAAUGUAACUAAUGCACAUAGUUAUUUCAUUUGACCCUAAUCUCACUGUUUAUCUAGGACUUGAUGGUUACUUGAUCAAAUUAUUCACUAGACAAUAGAUAUUGGCAUCCAUAGGGAGAGAUGGGAACAACAACAUAUUCCCAAUUGCUUUUGGGGUGGUUGACAAGGAGGAUGGUGAUAGCUAGACCUAGUUUCUCAACCAGCUUAUGGCACAAGUAACAAGUUUGGAAACUACACCAUCAUGUCUGAUAGAUAGGAGGUAUUGAUGCAUUUAUUUUUUCAGCUUUAUAAACACAAACACAUAGUCAUGAUGCAUUAGUUAAAUUAUAUGGUGCUUAUGAAAACAACAUGGUCUUCUUAAGGAAAUUAACAAAGUAUUUCCUCAGUCCCCACAAAGAUAUUGCCUUAGACACAUCUAUGCCAACUUUCAGUCAGCUGGCUCUAGAGUGGGGAAGAACUAAAAAAAUACGUAGACAAAGCUAGCUAUUCCUUCACUGAACAUGGUCAUAAAGCUAGAGUGGCUAGUUUGAAAGGAGCAUGUGAACCAGCUUACACGUGGUUGAAUGGCAUCCCUAAGGAGUGUUGGGCUAGAUAUGCAAUGGAUCAUGUAUGCAAGAAUGACUUGGUUGUCAACAACCUUAGUGAGGUUUUCAACAAGAUGAUCCUAGAUGUUAGGUCUAAGCCAAUUAAGACCAUGUUUGAAGGGUUGAGGACCAAACUCAUGGUUAAGUACGAGGGCAUAAGAGAGAAAGCAAAGAAUUGUAGGUGCGAAAUAACCCCACAUUACAUGGAGAAGCUUGAAGAGAGCAAGAAAUGGGCUAAAUAUUGUGAAGCAAACGUGGUUGGUCCCAACAUUUGGCAAGUUACUAGUGGAGAGAACAUUUACUGUGUGAAGCUGGAUGAAGAGAGUUGUUCUUGCAAGAGGUGGGACAUGACUGGGUCACCUUGCCACCAUGCAAUUGCUACUAUGCAGAAGAUCAAAGUUCAUCCUGAAGAUUAUGUGAAUCCAUUCUUUAAGAAGGAAAUGUACAAGGCAGCUUACCAACACAUCAUCUACAUUGUUCCUGGGCCUGAAUUCUAUCCAAACACAAACACACCAGACAUUGAGCCACCAGUAUUUAAGGAGAAGAAAGGGAAGAAGCAGACAUCUAGGAGAAAGGGCCAAUUUGAAGUGCCAGCUCCUAAGGAUACAUCAAGGAUGGGCACAAUAACCUGCAGUAACUGCAACAGGCAAGGUCACAGGUGGACACUAUGUGGAGACACGUUUAAGACUAAGUUACAGACAAGCACCAGGUAACUUUCAGUUAUUUAAGCUAAUGCAAAAUAUUUUCAUAGGUAACUUUCAGUUAUUUAAGAAAAUGCAAAAUAUCAUCAAGUGCAUCUAUUAUAGCAUGUUGUGCUUCAUUUGUAGGAAAACAAAAAGUCAUACCCAUCUUCUGGACCACCCGAGCCACCAAGAGGAGCUGCUACUCAAGGUCCAUCAAGAGUACCUGCUGCAUCUGGUCCUGCCAGAGUUGCAGUUGCAUCUGCUGGUCCUGCAGCCAACACCAACUGGGGCCACCCAAGCUGCUGCAAGAGCACCAACCAGGGCCACCCAAGCUGCAUCAAGAGCAUCAACUGUUGCUACUGUAGUCUCAAUAGUAGCAUCAAGAAAGAGAAAGAGCACAUCUUCAGCACCAACCAAGAAACACCAGGUCAAGUGCAUCAUCUCCAGCAAAGAACACUAGGUCAGCAGCCACUGGUGCGCGUCGGUGCUAAACAUACGGUUUUUAACCCCUUUCCGCGACGGCAUUUGGAACCGUCGCCAAGUGAGUGUGGGCGAUAUGGGGGGUCCUUCCCACAUGACCCAGAAACUGUCGGGGAUAUGCCCUCCUGGCACACACACUCGGCAAAAUGAGGUCGUGUGCGACCGGCGAACGCUCAAAUACGGAAAUACGUACAAUAGAGCUAAAAAAUACAAUUAUACGGCGAAAUUGUUUCCGGUCGCAAGUACAUCCCACAUAGUCAGUCCCUGCUAAACGUUUCCGUUCGUAUGUACAUCCCACGCAGUCGCUCCAAGGAAAACGUUUCCGUUCACAGGUACAUCACACACAAUUUUUCCAGUUAAAUCGUUUGUGAUAGCGUUGCCAUUGCACACGAUAUUAAUAAUUUUAUCGUUUGCGUUAUUGAAUGCAUCACACACAGUGCGUAGAAGAAACUGUGUGGCAAAGGCUGUCUAUCACACACACUUUUUAUGUGGUAAACGUUUGCGCAAGGUGGCCUAACGCAAACAGUUUUCAAGAGAAAUUCAUGUGUGCAGUGGAGCUUGAUCGCACACGUAGGGGAUCCUAGAAAUGUUUCUGAUCUCCACGUAUAUCGCAGACAUUUCACUUUCAUAAACCGUGUGCAGUGUAAUCCCUAAUUAAUCCAAUUAAUCCCUAAUUUGAAAAUAACAUGUUUUGAAUUUGAAAGUAGGCAAUCACUUAUUUCAUAUCAAACCAUGUUUAUUACAAAUAUAGGUUCAACCACGAAUCCAUAAUUCGAUGCACAUGUACAUAUACUGAAGAACUACAGAAGGACUAAGUAAAGAAUGAUGAACCACAGUUGUACUAAAGACUGUAAAGAGAGAGGCAGAAGACAUUCUGGUUGAUGGAGAAGGUGAAGCGGAAUGCCCAUAUUGUGCCCUCCUCCAUGCGUAAUGCGCGCACGACUCUAGGCCAACCCCUUGUGAUGGCUGCCCGUCCAUCCAUCACUAUCUUCAUUAGGACUUCUCGAUGCUCAUUGUAGUCUGUAUGAAAUACUUUAACCUUCAUUGCGUGUCCACCAAUCAUGUACUUUGCGAGGUAAUCUUUAGUGAACUGCUUCGGGAACCACUGGGAACGAAAAAGAUUCAGACAUUGUUGUCUAACAACUCAUUAUGGGCAGUAAAAAGAGAAGGCUGCAGAGUUUGUAGUUACCAUCCUACAGCUCACUGUUGUGUUGGAUAGAGCAUAAACAAAUAAUUUGCUUGCCACCAUUCAUACCUUUUUGCUAAUAAUCCUUAUCAGUUUCCUCACUUGAUGCUUGUUCAUCAAUAUCUCAUUGCCCCAUACGCAAAAAGGGUCGAUGCGUGGAUCCUUGCCAAGGGCAUAUGUACCUACAAGCAACAAGUCAAUAUUAGAAGCUAACUAGUGUCCAGGCCUGGAUCUAUAUGCACUACAUUAUGGAACGACGGGGGGAGUACAAGCUGAGGGAUGAAGCUAACCUCGGCGGAAAAUGGUGGCCACUCCCGUUGUUGUCCUGCAUAAGUAGUGGAAAGGCAUGAUAAGUACAUCAAUCUUAACAUCAAACAAAUAUAGCAAAGGUAAACAACAUCAUCUCCAAAUGAUAGCUUGAAUGUGUUGGUUUCAGCAUGCUGUUAAAGCAGAUAUAAAAUGGAAGGCAAUGUUACCGACAGCAGGCUUAACAGCCAUCAAAUAUUGCAAUUCAAACUGGUAUUGUUGAAAAUGAAUAGAACGUAGGUAAUGCUUAAACAUCACACUGGAUAAAUGUGUAAAACUGAAAUAAAGGGCAUGUGUUAACUACACCAAGAAUAACUGGAACCAAAUAUAGCCGUUCAAACUGGUAUUGAUGUAGUCAAGCAGCACAAUUGCGACUUGCACAUAAUGAACAACACAUUGUGAAUGACUGAAAUAAACAAGGCAUAAAUGAACGGUAUAACAACCAAAUAUAGCCAUUGAAAACUGGACAGAGUCUCACUGCAACCAACCUAACAAGCAAAUACAGAUAAACAGGGCAUAUGCUUGAAAACUGGACAAAUGCUCACUGCAACCAACCUAACAAGCAGAUAAAGAUAAACAAGGCAUCUGCUUGAUAACUGGACAAAUGCUAAAAAAGCAACCUAACAACCAAAUACAGAUAAACAAGGCAUCUGCUUGAUAACUGGACAAAUGCUAAAAAAAGCAACCUAACAACCAAAUACAGAUAAACAAGGCAUCUGCUUGAUAACUGGACAAAUACUCACUUCAACCAAACUAAGAAGCAAAUACAGAUAAACAAGGCAUCUGCUCGAUAAAUGAAAAAAUGCUCACUCCAACCAACCUAACAACCAAAUACAGAUAAACAAGGCAUCUACUCACUAUAAACAACCAAAUAUAGCCAUUCGUGAAACUAAAGUGGACAGUUCAUACUUAAACAUCACAUAGACCUAUUGAACAAUACAUUUUUGCAUAACUGAAAUAAUUAAACAUGACACAGUUAAAGCACCGCACGACAAAUGCUACUACAACAAAGGGUACGGGUUGGCAAGCUAGAAAAGGUAAGAUUUGCUGAUAGAAUGUUGCCUCACAUUUCAUGGACGGGAUCCUUCCAGUUGGAAGAGCACAUACCCAUGGUGCGCUCUCUGAUGUCACAGAUGGGCUGUUUCACAUUGGAAGAACCUUCGUGGGUGCCCUCCUCAUGGUCGUGGUCGUGGUCGAUGAGAUCUGACUUGGAAAUUGAGGAUCCCAAGCCGCCGCUGUAGAACGUGUCCUUCAGAAGUGACAAAAUGGGCUCGAUGGUGUAUAAAGAUCGCAAAUCCUUGACCGCUUGGCGAAGGAGAUCAGCCGCAGGGCCACUGAAGAGAUCGACAGCGGUUGAACCAGAGGGGUUGGGGAUGGACCACUUAACCUGUGACAUGGCCCGCGUGAAGCCAUUGGUGUGGACGAGCUUGAUGUCAUAGCCAACUUUCCCGAGAUACAGUAAUACGCUAGCCCGCUGACAUGAAGCCUUCGGCAUGGCAACGUAGUCAACGUCUUCGCCGGCUUCCGCGGUGACGUGUUGCUUGAUACGUCUCCAUCGUAUCUAUAAUUUUUGAUUGUUCCAUGCCAAUAUUCUACAACUUUUACAUACUUUUGCCAACUUUUUAUACUAUUUUGGGACUAACAUAUUGAUCCCGUGCCCAGUGCCAGUUCCUAUUUGUUGCAUGUUUUUUGUUUCGCAGAAAAUCCAUAUCAAACAGAGUCCAAACGGGAUAAAAACUGACGGAGAUUUGUUUUGGAAUAUAUGUGAAUUUUGGAAAGUGGAAUCAACGCGAGACGAUGCCCGAGGGGCCCACGAGGGUGAGGGGCGCGCCCCAGGGGGUCAGGCGCGCCCUGGGCCCUUGUGGCCACUCCAUAAGGCGGUUGGUGCCCAUCUUUCGCCGCAAGAAAGCCAAUAUUCGGAUAAAAAUCGUGUCCAAUUUCAGCCCAACCGGAGUUAGGGAUCUCCGGGAAUAUAAGAAACGGUGAAAGGGCAGAAUCAGGAACGCAGAAACAGAUAGAGACAGAGAGACAGAUCCAAUAUCGGAGGGGCUCUCGCCCCUCCCAUCCAUGGAAGCCAAGUACCAGAGGGGAAACCCUUCUCCCAUCUAGGGAGAAGGUCAAGGAAGAAGAAGAAGAAGAAGAAGGGGGGCUCUCUCUCCCUCUCUUCCAGUGGCGCCGGAACGCUGCCGGGGCCAUCAUCGUCACCGCAAUCUACACCAACACCUCCGUCAUCUUCACCAACAUCUUCAUCACCUUCCCCCAUCUAUCUACAACGGUCCACUCUCCCACAACCCGCUGUACCCUCUACUUGAAAAUGGUGCUUUAUGCUUCAUAUUAUUAUCCAAUGAUGUGUUGCCAUCCUAUGAUGUCUGAGUAGAUUUCGUUGUCCAGUCGGUAAUUGGUGAAUUGCUAUGAUUGGUUUAAUUUGCUUGUGGUUAUGUUGCUGUCCUUUGGUGCCCAUCAUAUGAGCACGCACGUGGAUCACACCAUAGGGUUAGUUGUAUGUUGAUAGGACUAUGUAUUGGAGGGCAAGAGUGAUAGAAGCUUCAACCUAGCAUAGAAAUUGAUGCAUACGGGAUUGAAGGGGGGGCAAUAUAUCUUAAUGCUAUGGUUGGGUUUUACCUUAAUGAACGUUAGUAGUUGCGGAUGCUUGCUAAUAGUUCCAAUCAUAAGUGCAUAGAAUUCCAAGUCAGGGAUGACAUGCUAGUAGUGGCCUCUCCCACAUAAAACUUGCUAUUGGUCUAGUAAAGUAGUCAAUUGCUUAGGGACAAUUUCGCAACUCCUACCACCACUUUUCCACUCGCUAAACUAACUUUAUUGCUUCUUUACUUAAAACAGCCCCUAGUUUUUAUUUACGUGCUCUUUAUUAUCUUGCAAACCUAUCCAACAAUACCUACAAAGUACUUCUAGUUUCAUACUUGUUUUAGGUAAAGCGAACGUUAAGCGUGCAUAGAGUUGUAUCGGUGGUCGAUAGAACUUGAGGGAAUAUUUGUUCUACCUUUAGCUCAUCGUUGGGUUCGACACUCUUACUUAUCGAAAGAGGCUACAAUUGAUCCCCUAUACUUGUGGGUUAUCAAGACCUUUUUCUGGCGCCGUUGCCGGGGAGUUCUAGCGUGGGGUGAAUAUUCUCGUGUGUCCUUGUUUGCUUUAUCACUAAGUAGUUUUUAUUUUGUGCUCUUGUUUUCUAUCUUUAGUUAUGGGUAGGAAACGCAAAAUACCAAAAAAAUUAGGUGUACCUACUACACCAAUGGUUGAAGAACCACUCAAAAUCUAUCACACUCCUGAAGCUUUUUACUUGGAUCAUCUUCGAUCCCUUUGUGCUCGUGCUGAAACCCCAACUAGCUUAGUUGAGGGCAAAUCUUUAGAUGAGCAUGCUUGUUAUGUGUGACACCGCUUAUCUCAAAAAGGGAAACUUUUACUGGAUCAAAUUCAUUGUUUGCAAUGCUAUGCUUGGAAUUUAUGUGAAAUAUAUGAUGUUACUUGUUGUUCUGAAAACCCUAAGAAACACCUUCCCUACCAAUGUGAGUUUAGUGAUAAUGGAAUCGUAUCUUCGUAUGCUAAGGGUGUUUAUAAUUACUAUGAUGUUCAACAAAUUGAAGAAUUUGUUGCUUUUAAGGCUGCUUAUGAAAUUGCUUCUUUGAUUGAAACGUAUGAUGCUACUCUUUACAAAUCUGAAUUUUUUUGCCAUACUUAAAUAUUGUUAUGAUAAUUAUGCUUCUAAUGCCUAUGUUAAACCAUAUAUUGAGGACUCCUCCGCUGUCCAAGAAGAGACUAAUAUUUUGCAGGAGUCUAUGGAAGAAGGAAUUGAUGAAACUGUGGGCUCAUUGGAGGAAAAAGAUGAUGAGGAGAGCGAAGAACAAAAGGAGAAAGAGCGGAUUAGCUACCCGUGCCCACCUUCUAAUGAGAGUAACUCUUCAACUCAUACAUUGUUUAAUUACCCUUCGUGCUUACCGAAGGAUGAUUGCUAUGAUGAUUGUUAUGAUCCCGUUGAUUCUUUUGAAAUAUCCCUUUUUGAUGAUGCUUGCUAUGCUUGUGGCCAAGAUGCUAAUAUGAAUUAUGCUUAUGGAGAUGAACUUGCUAUAGUUCCUUAUGUUAAACAUGAAAUUGUUGCUAUUGCACCCACGCAUGAUAGUCCUAUUAUCUUUUUGAAUUCUCCCGACUACACUAUUUCGGAGAAGUUUGCCCUUAUUAAGUAUUAUAUUAAUGGGUUGCAUUUUACUACUACACAUGAUGAUUUUGAUAGAUAUAAUAUGCAUGUGCUUGCUGCUCCUACUUGCAAUUACUAUGAGAAAGGAACUACAUCUCCACCUCUCCAUGUUUCCAAUAUGAUAAAAUUGCAAGAAACUGUUUAUACUAUGCAUUGGCCUUUACUAUGUGUGCAUGAAUUGUUCUUUUAUGACAUGCCGAUGCAUAGAAAGAGAGUUAGACUUCGUUGUUGCAUGAUAUAUGUUACUUUGUGCUCACUACUAAAUCACAAAUCAUUGUUAAUUAAAAUUGGCUUUGAUAUACCUUGGGAUCCGAGUGGAUCCAUUACUUGAGCACUAUAUGCCUAGCUUAAUGGCUUUAAAGAAAGCGCUGCCAGGGAGACAACCGGAAGUUUUAGAGAGUCAUUUAUUUCUGUUGUGUGUCUUUAUAAAGUUUAAAACAAAAAUAAUGUGCCAAGAUUUGCCUUUAGGAUGUUUAUAUUGCUUGUUAGUUUGUGUGGUGCAGAACAGAAACUUUGGCCGUAGUGCACGAUUUUACAUUUUUACUGGAACAUCAAACGGUUCUGAAACUUUUUGCACUGUCUUUAUAUACAAAUUGUUUAUUUUUCCUAUUUUUUCAGAAUUUUUGGAGUACCAGAAGUAUGGUGAAUGUUCAGAUUACUACAGACUGCCCUGUUUAAGACAGAUUCUGUUUUUGAUGCAUAGUUUGCUUGUUUUGAUGAAACUAUCAAUUUCUAUCAGUGGAUUAAGCCAUGGAAAAUUUAUAUUACAGUAGCUAUAAUGCAAAAACAAAAACAAAAUAUGAAUUGGUUUGCAACAGCACUUAGAGUAGUGAUUUGCUUUAUUAUACUAACGGAUCUUACCAAACUUUCUGUUGAGUUUUGUGUGGAUGAAGUGUUCGAAGAUCGAGGAUGUCUCGAUGUGAGGAGAAGAAGGAGAGGCAAGAGCUCAAGCUUGGGGAUGCCCAAGGCACCCCAAGUAAAUAUUUAAGGAGACUCAAGCGUCUAAGCUUGGGGAUGCCCCGGAAGGCAUCCCAUCUUUCUUCAACAAGUACCGGUAUGUUUUCGGAUUCGUUUCGUUCAUGCAAUAUGUGCAAAUCUUGGAGCGUCUUUUGCAUUUAGUUUUCACUUUUCUUUUAUGCACCAUGCUGGUAUGAGGUAGUACAUGGUUGAUUUAUAGAAUGCUCUUUGCACUUCACUUAUAUCUUUUGAGUAUAGGUUUAUAGAAUGCUUUAUGUGCUUCACUUAUAUCAUUUGAAGUUUGGAUUGCCUGUUUCUCUUCACAUAGAAAACCGCCAUUUGUAGAAUGCUCUUUUGCUUCACUUAUAUUUGUUAGAGCAUGGGCAUAUCUUUUGUAGAAAGAAUUAAACUCUCUUGCUUCACUUAUAUCUAUUUAGAGAGUUGACAGGAAUUGGUCAUUCACAUGGUUAGUCAUAAAAUCCUACAUAAAACUUGUAGAUCACUGAAUAUGAUAUGUUUGAUUCCUUGCAAUAGUUUUGCGAUAUAAAGAUGGUGAUAUUAGAGUCAUGCUAGUGGGUAGUUGUGGAUUGUAGAAGUACUUGUAUUGAAGUUUGUGAUUCCCGUAGCAUGCACGUAUGGUGAACCGUUAUGUAACGAAGUUGGAGCAUGAGGUAUUUAUUGAUUAUCUUCCUUAUGAGUGGCGGUCGGGGACGAGCGAUGGUAUUUUCCUACCAAUCUAUCCCCCUAGGAGCAUGCGCGUAGUACUUUUUUUCGACGACUAAUAGAUUUUUGCAAUAAGUAUGUGAGUUCUUUAUGACUAAUGUCGAGUCCAUGGAUUAUACGCACUCUCACCCUUCCAUCAUUGCUAGCCUCUUCGGUACCAUGCAUUGCCCUUUCUCACCUCGAGAGUUGGUGCAAACUUCGCCGGUGCAUCCAAACCCCGUGAUACGAUACGCUCUAUCACACUUAAGCCUCCUUAUAUCUUCCUCAAAACAGCCACCAUACCUACCUAUUAUGGCAUUUCCAUAGCCAUUCCGAGAUAUAUUGCCAUCCAACUUUCAUCAUCAUCAUAUACAUGACUUGAGCAUUUAUUGUCAUAUUGCUUUGCAUGAUCGUAAGAUAGCUAGCAUGAUGUUUUCAUGGCUUGUCCCUUUUUUGAUGUCAUUGCUACGCUAGAUCAUUGCACAUCCCGGUACACCGCCGGAGGCAUUCAUAUAUAGUCGUAGUUUGUUCUAGACACCGAGUUGUAAUAUUGAGUUGUAAGUAAAUAAAAGUGUGAUGAUCAUCAUUAUUAGAACAUUGUCCCAUGUGAGGUUAUCAAAAUAAAAGUGGCCAAAGGAUCCCCCAAAAAAGAGAGAGAGGCCAAAGAAGCCUAAAAAAAGAGAGAAAAAUAAAAAAUGAGAGAAAAGAGAGAAGGGACAAUGUUACUAUCCUUUUACCACACUUGUGCUUCAGAGUAGCACCAUGUUCUUCAUAUAGAGAGUCUCUUGAGUUAUCACUUUCAUAUACUAGUGGGAAUUUUCAUUAUAGAACUUGGCUUGUAUAUUCCAACGAUGGGCUUCCUCAAAUGCCCUAGGUCUUCAUGAGCAAGCAAGUUGGAUGCACACCCACUUAGUUUCAGUUUGAGCUUUCAUACACUUAUAGCUCUAGUGCAUCCGUUGCAUGGCAAUCCAUACUCCUCACAUUGACAUCAAUUGAUGGGCAUCUCCAUAGCCCGUUGAUUAGCCACGUCGAUGUGAGACUUUCUCCUUUUUGUCUUCUCCACACAACCUCCAUCAUCAUAUUCUAUUCCACCUAUAGUGCUAUAUCCAUGGCUCACGCUCAUGUCUUGCGUGAAAGUUGAAAAGGUUUGAGAACAUCAAAAGUAUGAAACAAUUGCUUGGCUUGUCAUCGGGGUUGUGCAUGAUUUGAACAUGAUUACUUUAUUAGUAUGCUUGAAGUAUUAUUGUCUUAAUGUCAAAUGGUAGACUAUUGCUUUGAAUCACUUGUGUCUUAAUAUUCAUGCCAUGAUUAGAUUACAUGAUCAAGAUUAUGCUAGGUAGCAUUCCACAUAAAAAAUUAUCGUUUUUUAUCAUUUACCUACUCGAGGACGAGCAGGAAUAAAGCUUGGGGAUGCUGAUACGUCUCCGUCGUAUCUAUAAUUUUUGAUUGUUCCAUGCCAAUAUUCUACAAAUUUUACAUACUUUUGGCAACUUUUUAUACUAUUUUUGGGACUAACAUAUUGAUCCAGUGCCCAGUGCCAAUUCCUGUUUGUUGCAUGUUUUUUGUUUCGUAGAAAAUCCAUAUCAAACAGAGUCCAAACGGGAUAAAAACUGACGGAGAUUUUUUUUGGAAUAUAUGUGAAUUUUGGGAAGUGGAAUCAACGCGAGACGAUGCCCGAGGAGCCCACGAGGAUGAGGGGCGCGCCCCAGGGGGUCAGGCGCGCUCUGGGCCCUCGUGGCCACUCCGUAAGGCGGUUGGUGCCCAUAUUUCUCCGCAAGAAAGCCAAUAUCCGGAUAAAAAUCGUGUCCAAAUUUCAGCCCAGUCGGAGUUACGGAUCUCCGGUAAUAUAAGAAACGGUGAAAGGGCAGAAUCAGGAACGCAGAAACAGAGAGAGACAGAGAGACAGAUCCAAUCUCGGAGGGGCUCUCGCCCCUCCCAUGCCAUGGAAGCCAAGGACCAGAGGGGAAACUCUUCUCCCAUCUAGGGAGAAGGUCAAGGAAGAAGAAGAAGAAGGGGGAUCUCUCCCCCUCUCUUCCGGUGGCGCCGGAACGCCGCCGGGGCCAUCAUCGUCAUCGCAAUCUACACCAACACCUCCGUCAUCUUCACCAACAUCUUCAUCACCUUCCCCCAUCUAUCUACAAUGGUCCACUCUCCCGCAACCCGCUGUACCCUCUACUUGAACAUGGUGCUUUAUGCUUCAUAUUAUUAUCCAAUGAUGUGUUGCCAUCCUAUGAUGUCUGAGUAGAUUUUCGUUGUCCAAUCGGUAAUUGGUGAAUUGCUAUGAUUGGUUUAAUUUGCUUGUGGUUAUGUUGCUGUCCUUUGGUGCCCAUCAUAUGAGUGCGUGCGUGGAUCACACCAUAGGGUUAGUUGUAUGUUGAUAGGACUAUGUAUUGGAGGGCAAGAGUGACCAAAGCUUCAACCUAGCAUAGAAAUUGAUGCAUACAGGAUUGAAGGGGGACUAAUAUAUCUUAAUGUUAUGGUUGAGUUUUACCUUAAUGAACGUUAGUAGUUGCGGAUGCUUGCUAAUAGUUCCAAUCAUAAGUGCAUAGAAUUCCAAGUCAGGGAUGACAUGCUAGCAAUGGCCUCACCCACAUAAAACUUGCUAUCGGUCUAGUAAAGUAGUCAAUUGCUUAGGGACAACUUCGCAACUCGUACCACCACUUUUCCACGCUCGCUAUACUAACUUUAUGGGACAAUUGCAUUUUUACCCCUAGUUGGGUCCUACCCACGGGUUUUGCCCUUACUUUUCGAGCUUGCUCAGUUUUGCCCUUACUUUUUCCGUCGAGGUCCCUCGACUGCCCUUUGACUGUUUCACCAAAACUUUGAAAAUUCAUAACUAAUUCAUAUGAACUCACAAAAAUGCAAAUAAGAUAUCAAAAUAGUCAGAUAAACAUUACCUUUAUGUGCAUAUCAUUUGCAUUCAGGACAAAAGCACCCUUUAAACUACCUGAGGUAAUUAAUGUUAUUAACAUUAUUAAAAAUAAAAAGGUAUAAACAAUAUUUUUUUCAUGAAUAAAAAUUACAUGCAAAUGUAGGUGAUGUUUAUCAACUUGUUAUGAAGUUUCCAAAUAAUGGUCAAAGUCGUUAGAACAUUCUUAACAAGAUGAUACAAACUCAGAAAAAUGCAAAUAAGAUAUCUGGAUGUCCAGAAAACAUCACCUACAUUUGCAUGCAGUUUUUAUUCAUGAAAAAAAUAUUGUUUAUACCUUUUUAUUUUUAAUAAUGUUAAUAACAUUAAUUACCUCAGGUAGUUUAAAGGGUGCUUUUGUCGUAACUGCAAAUGACAUGCACAUAAAGGUAAUGUUUAUCUAAACGUUUUGAUAUCUUAUUUUCAUUUUUCUGAGUUCAUAUAAAUUAGUUAUGAAUUUUCAAAGUUUUGGUCAAACGGUCAAAGGGCAUUCGAGGGACCAUGACGGAAAAAGUAAGGGCAAAACUGAGCAAGCUCGAAAAGUAAGGGCAAAACCCGUGGGUAGGAACCAACUAGGGGUAAAAAUGCAAUUGUCCCAUACUAUUAAGAAGGGAUGAGGUGUUGCUUAAUGAGGAUCUUGCUCAAAAUGCUUAGUGAUAUGCUCCAAAACCCUCCACUACUUUCUCAUAUCCACAUAUGUCCUAAACCAAAAAGUCCAACUCGGCCCCACCGAUUCUUUCCAUCCGGAGCCACCGAGUUCAGUUGACAUAGCCACUGCCAGAAACCCUAAUCAUUUCGGUCUCAGCGAUAGGGAUCUCGGUCUCACCGAGAUGAGGUUGCAAACUCUCUGUUUCCCUUCGUAACGUUUCGGUCAAACCGAGAUGAGCGAUCAGUCCCACCGAGAUUGCAAUGCAAACUCUCUGUUUCCUUUUCGUAACGUUUCGGUCCAACCGAGAUGAGCGAAUCGGUCCCACCGAGUUUGCCUGACCAACUCUCUGUUUGGCUAUUACCAAAAUCGGCCUCACCGAGUUUGUGUAAUCGGUCUCACCGAGAUUACGUUAGGCCCUAACCCUAAUGACAUCGGUCCCACCAAGUUGACAUGUCGGUCCCACCGAGAAUCCUAACGUUCACAUUUUGAACCAAAUCGGUCCGACCGAGUUUAAUGAUUCGGUCCCACCGAGUUUGGUGAUUUGUGUGUAAGGGUUAGAUUUUGUGUGGAGGCUAUAUAUACCCCUCCACCCCCUCUUCAUUCAUGGAGAGAGCCAUCAGAACAUGCCUACACUUCCAAUACAUAUUUUCUGAGAGAGAACCACCUACACUUGUGUUGAGGUCAAGAUAUUCCAUUCCAACCACAUAAAUAUUGAUCUCUAGCCUUCCCCCAGUUGCUUUCCACUCAAAUCUUCUUUCUACCAAAUCCAAUCCUAUGAUAGAGAGUUGAGUGUUGGGGAGACUAUCAUUUGAAGCACAAGAGCAAGGAGUUCAUCAUCAACACACCAUUUGUUACUUCUUGGAGAGUGGUGUCUCCUAGAUUGGCUAGGUGUCACUUGGGAGCCUCCGACAAGAUUGUGGAGUUGAACAAGGAGUUUGUAAGGGCAAGGAGAUCGCCUACUUCGUGAUCUACCCUAGUGAGGCAAGUCCUUCGUGGGCGACAACCAUGGUGGGAUAGACAAGGUUGCUUCUUCGUGGACCCUUCGUGGGUGGAGCCCUCCGUGGACUCGCGCAACCGUUACCCUUCGUGGGUUGAAGUCUCCAUCAACGUGGAUGUACGAUAGCACCACCUAUCGGAACCACGGAUAAAAAAUCUCCGUGUCAACAUUGCGUUUGCUCUCUCAAACUCAUCCCUUUACCUUCAUAUGCAAUUGUUUUACAUUCCGCUGCUAUACUCUUAGAAUUGCAUGUGUAGGUUGAUUGCUUGAGUUGUGCUAAGUUGCUAAAAUCUGCCAAGAACUAAAAUUGGGAAAAGGCUAGAUUUUUAUUUGGUCAAGUAGUCUAAUCACCCCCCCUCUAGACAUACUUCCGAUCCUACAAGUGGUAUCAGAGCUUUGGUCUCCAUUUGCUUUGAUUUCCAUAGCUUUUGGUGGUCAUAGCCUUGGUUUCACAACCUAGGAGAGUAUGGCGUCUAGCGAGGGAAAGUACCACCGUAGAGGGAAAGUACCAACGAGUAAAGAGACUUGCCGGUAACAAGAUUGAACUAGGUAUGAUGAUACCAACGAUCGAAUUUCGGGCAAGUAACAUACCGAUGACAAAGGGAAUGACGUAUGUUGUUAUGCGGUUUGACCGAUAAAGAUCUUCGUAGAAUAUGUAGGAGCCAAUAUGAGCAUCCAGGUUCCGCUAUUGGUUAUUGACCGGAGAUGUGUCUCGGUCAUGUCUACAUAGUUCUCGAACCCGUAGGGUCCGCACGCUUAAUGUUCGAUGAUGAUUUGUAUUAUGAGUUAUGUGAUUUGAUGACCGAAGUUUGUUCAGAGUCCCGGAUGAGAUCACGUACAUGACGAGGAGUCUCGAAAUGGUCGAGAUGUAAAGAUUGAUAUAUUGGAAGGUUAUAUACGUGUAACGCCCACGAUGCGGCUAUAUCUCCCACGUGUCGAGGCACGACUUAGAGGCAUAACCGCAUAGUGGUUUUGUCGCAAGAAGGGUCAUCUUUACACAAUCCCAUGUAAUGAACAAGAAUGGGAUAAAGAGUUGGCUUACAAUCGCCACUUGAAAAAGAUAUGGAAUCAACAUAUGAAUUAGAAGCAACUCGAAUACCACGAUACAAAAUAAAACAAAGUAUUGGCUUGCAAAAUAAGCCGGAACAAACAUAUGAUAGAUAUUUCGUCCGAAGUUUUCGUGGUGGGGCCCACACGGGCUUAAUCGUACAGCACCAUCAUGUACAAGGCUGUGCACAUGACAUACGAAGCGUCCCCGAGUCGGCAAAGCCAUGGACUCUUUAAGACACAACGAGACCACUGUAAAAUCAACCGUGGAAAGGCGGACCACUAGACGUCGAACCCCAAUCUCAUAUCAUGCGUCUGUCGGAAAGAUAUCCUAAGGCUACUUGAAUUCCCACUUAUAAACUCCCAAAACUUUCUGGUUAUGCAAUCUGGUGUAAGGGAUACAGGGGACACAAAAUAUAUCACCCAAACUAGCAAUCCCUAGAUCCAGCUGUAUCCAUCCGUCAACACAUAACCAAGAAACCUUCGGAAAUCGUUUACCUCAACCUUCGAAAAACAUCCGUUAUACAAGUUAUGGCAAUACUCCCGAACUCCCGCCCCAGUACUGGGUGGCGUCGAGGUGAUCUCACCAACAACUGCAUAAAAGAGAUUUCGAUGUCGGCGAAACUCAGGUAUUCCAGAACUGCAACGAUAAAAUUGUGACGACAACACCUCGGAGCUCAACUCCCCGGGACACUGCCACAACCCCUAAAUGUCAGGAGGCACCAAGAACAAUGUUCUCGUCACAAAGCCAUCGGCUAAGAGAUUCCAACUUAGGAGCCCCCUGCUUGAUCGAAUCGCUGGCGUUGUACCUUGGAAUCGUUCCGAUGGCUUUGUGACGAGAACAUUGUUCUUGGUGCCUCCUGACAUUUAGGGGUUGUGGCAGUGUCCCGGGGAGUUGAGCUCCGAGGUGUUGUCGUACAAUUUUAUCGUUGCAGUUCUGGAAUACCUGAGUUUCGCCGACAUCGAAAUCUCUUUUAUGCAGUUGUUGGUGAGAUCACCUCGACGCCACCCAGUACUGGGGCGGGAGUUCGGGAGUAUUGCCAUAACUUGUAUAACGGAUGUUUUUCGAAGGUUGAGGUAAACGAUUUCCGAAGGUUUCUUGGUUAUGUGUUGACGGAUGGAUACAGCUGGAUCUAGGGAUUGCUAGUUUGGGUGAUAUAUUUUGUGUCCCCUGUAUCCCUUACACCAGAUUGCAUAACCAGAAAGUUUCGGGAGUUUAUAAGUGGGAAUUCAAGUAGCCUUAGGAUAUCUUUCCGACAGACGCAUGAUAUGAGAUUGGGGUUCGACAUCUAGUGGUCCGCCUUUCCACGGUUGAUUUUACAGUGGUCUCGUUGUGUCUUAAAGAGUCCAUGGCUUUGCCGACUCGGGGACGCUUCGUAUGUCAUGUGCACAGCCUUGUACAUGAUGGUGCUGUACGAUUGAGCCCGUGUGGGCCCCACCACGAAAACUUCGGACGAAAUAUCUAUCAUAUGUUUGUUCCGGCUUAUUUUGCAAGCCAAUACUUUGUUUUAUUUUGUAUCGUGGUAUUCGAGUUGCUUCUAAUUCAUAUGUUGAUUCCAUAUCUUUUUCAAGUGGCGAUUGUAAGCCAACUCUUUAUCCCAUUCUUGUUCAUUACAUGGGAUUGUGUAAAGAUGACCCUUCUUGCGACAAAACCACUAUGCGGUUAUGCCUCUAAGUCGUGCCUCGACACGUGGGAGAUAUAGCCGCAUCGUGUGCGUUACAAUACGGACAUCGGAAUGGUUCCGAUAAGGUUCGGGGAUUUAUCGGAGUACCGGGAGGCUAUCGGAACCCCCCGGGAAAGUUAUUGGGCCUAAUGGGCCAUAGUGGAGAAGAGGAGGCAGGCCACAGGAGGUGGGGCGCGCCCUCCUUGCCCCAAUCCAAAUUGGACAAGGGGAGGGGGUGCGACCCCCCUCUUUCCUUCUCCCUCUCCCUCCUUUCCCCUUACCCCCUCUCCGUUGGAAGGAAAGGGGGCGAAUCCUACUAGGUUUGGAGUCCUAGUAGGACUCCCCCCUGGCGUGCCUCCCCCUUGGCCGGCCUCCUCCUCCCCCCUCCUUUAUAUACGUGGGCAGGAGGGCACCCCAAAGCACAACAGACAAUCUCUUAGCCGUGUGCGGUGCCCUCCUCCACAGUUUAACACCUCGGUCAUAUCGUCGUAGUGCUUAGGUGAAGCCCUGUGCCGGUAACUUCAUCAUCACCGUCGCCACGCCGUCGUGCUAACGAAACUCUCCCUCGUCCUCAACUGGAUCAAGAGCUCGAGGGACGUCAUCGUGUUGAACAUGUGCUGAACAUGGAGGUGCCGUACGUUCAGUACUUGGAUCGGUUGGAUCGUGAAGACGUACAUCAACCGCGUUACUAAAUGCUUCCGCUUUCGGUAUACGAGGGUACGUGGGCACACUCUCCCGUCUCGUUGCUAUGCUUCUUCUAGAUAGAUCUUGCGUGAUCAUAGGAAUUUUUUGAAUUACUACGUUCCCCAACAGUGGCAUCCGAGCCAGGUCUAUGCAUAGAUGUUAUAUACACGAGUACAACACAAAGACUUGUGGGCGAUAAUAGUCAUGCUGCUUACCACCAACGUCUUACUUUGAUUCGGCGGUAUUGUUGGAUGAAGCGGCCCGGACCGACAUUACAUGACCGCGUUCAUGAGACUGGUUCUACCGACGUGCUUCGCACUCAGGUGGCUAGCGGGUGUCUGUUUCUCCAACUUUAGUUGAAUCAAGUUUGACUACGGCCGGUCCUUGUUGAAGGUUAAAAUAGCACACUUGAUAAAAAAUCGUUGUGGUUUUGAUGCGUAGGUAAGAACGGUUCUUGCUAGAAGCCCGUAGCAGCCACGUAAAACUUGCAACAACAAAGUAGAGGACGUCUAACUUGUUUUUGCAGGGCAUGUUUUGUUGUGAUAUGGUCAAGACGUGAUGAGAUAUAAAUUGUUGUAUGAGAUGAUCAUGUUUUGUAGAAGUUAUCGACAACUGGCCGGAGCCUUAUGGUUGUCGCUUUAUUGUAUGAAAUGCAAUCGCCAUGUAGUUGCUUUACUUUAUCACUAAGCGGUAGCGAUAGUCGUAGAAGCAAUAGUUAGCGAGACGGCAACGAUGCUACGAUGGAGAUCAAGGUGUCAAGCCGGUGACGAUGGAGAUCAUGACGGUGCUUUGGAGAUGGAGAUCAAAGGCAGAAGAUGAUGAUGGCCAUAUCAUGUCACAUAUUUUGAUUGCAUGUGAUGUUUAUCCUUUAUGCAUCUUAUUUUUCUUAGUACGGCCGUAGCAUUAUAAGAUGAUCCCUCACUAAAUUUCAAGGUAUAAGUGUUCUUCCUGAGUAUGCACCAUUGCUACAGUUCAUCGUGCCGAGACACCACGUGAUGAUCGGGUGUGAUAAGCUCUAUUUUCACAUACAACGGGUGCAAGCUAGUUUUGCACGUGCACAAUACUCGGGUUAAACUUGACGAGCCUAGUAUAUGCAGAUAUGGCCUCGGAACACUGAGACCGAAAGGUCGAACCUGAAUCAGAUAGUAGAUAUGAUCAACAUAGUGAUGUUCACCAUUGAAAACUACUCCAUCUCACGUGAUGAUCGGACAUGGUUUAGUUGAUGGAGCACGUGAUCAUUUAGAUGACUAGAGGGAUGUCUAUCUAAGUGGGAGUUCUUAAGUAAUAUGAUUAAUUGAACUUUAAUUUAUCAUGAACUUAGUCCUGAUAGUAUUUUUCAUAUCUAUGUUGUAGAUCAAUAGCUUGCGAUGUAGCUCCCCGUUUAUUUUUUGAUAUGUUCCUAGAGAAAAAUAAGUUAAAAUAUGAUAGUAGCAAUGAUGCGGACUGGGUCCGUGAUCUGAGGACUAUCCUCAUUGCUGCACAGAAGAAUUAUGUCCUUGAUGCACCGCUAGGUGACAGACCUAUUGCAGGAGCAGAUGCAGACGUUAUGAAUGUUUGGCAAGCUCGGUAUGAUGACUACUUGAUAGUUUAGUGCACCAUGCUUUACGGCUUAGAACCGGGACUUCAAAAAUGUUUUGAACGCCACGGAGCAUAUAAGAUGUUCCAAGAGCUGAAACUGGUAUUUCAGACUCAUGCCCGAGUCGAGAGGUAUGAGACCUCUGACAAGUAUUUUGCCUACAAGAUGGAGGAUAAUAGCUCAACAAGUGAGCAUGUGCUCAGAAUGUCUGAGUACUACUAUCGGUUGAAUCAAGUGGGAGUUAAUCUUCCAGAUAAGAUAGUGAUUGACAGAGUUCUCUAGUCACUAUCACCAAGUUGCUGGAACUUUGUGAUGAACUAUAAUAUGCAAGGGAUGACGAAAAGGAUUCCCGAGCUAUUCGUGAUGCUGAAAUCGGUGAAGGUAGAAAUCAAGAAAAGCAUCAAAUGUUGAUGGUUGGCAGGACACUAGUUUCAAGUAAAAGGGUAAUGGAAAGAAAGGGAAAUUCGAGAAGAAUGGCAAGCAAGUUGCCACUCCCAUGAAGAAGCCCAAAGCUAGACCCAAGCCUGAAACUAAGUGCUUCUACGGCAAAGGAAAUGGUCACUGGAAGCGGAACUAUCCCAAAUACUUGGCGGAUAAGAAGGAUGACAAAGUGAACAAAAGUAUAUAUGAUAUACAUGUUAUUGAUGUGUACUUUACUAGUGUUCAUAGUAGCCCCUGGGUACUUCAUAUCGGUUCAGUUGCUAUGAUUAGUAACUCGAAACAUGAGUUACAAAAUGAACAAACACUAGUUGAGGGCGAGGUGACGAUGUGUGUUGGAGAUGAUUCCAAGGUUGAUAAGAUCACCAUCGCAUACUCCCUCUACCUUCAGGAUUAGUAUUGGAACUAAAUAAAUGUUAUUUGGUGUUUGCGUUGAGCAUAAAUAUGAUUGGAUCAUGUUUAUUGUGAUACAGUUAUUCAUUUAAGUUAGAGAAUAAUUGUUGUUCUGUUUACAUGAAUAAAACCUUCUAUGGUCUUACAUCCAAUGUAAAUGGUUUACUGAAUCUCAAUCACAGUGAUACACAUAAUAUUGAUGUCAAAAGAUGCAAAGUUAAUAAUGAUAGUGCAACUUAUUUGCGGCAUUGCCGUUUAGGUCAUAUUGGUGUAAAGCGCAUGAAGAAACUCCAUGCUGAUGGGCUUUUGGAAUCACUUGAUGCUUGCGAACCAUGCCUCAUGGGCAAGAUGACUAAGACUCCGUUCUCCGGAACAAUGGAGCGAGCCACUGACUUAUUGGAAAUAAUACAUACUGAUGUAUGCGGUCCGAUGAGUGUUGAGGCUCGCGGCGAGUAUCGUUAUUUUUUGACAUUCGCAGAUGAUUUAAGCAGAUAUGGGUAUAUCUACUUAAUGAAACACAAGUCUGAAACAUUUGAAAAGUUCAAGGAAAUUCAGAGUGAAGUUGAGAAUCAUCGUAACAAGAAAAUAAAAUUUUCUACGAUCUGACCGUGGAGGCAAAUAUUUGAGUUACGAGUUUGACCUUUAGAAUAGUUUCACAACUCAUGCCACCUUGAACACCACAGCGUAAUGGUGUGUCCGAAUGUCGUAACUGUACUUUAUUAGAUAUGGUGCGAUCUAUAAUGUCUCUUACCAAUUUACCGCUAUUAGUCCUUGACAAUGGUGAUUCGUAAUCUUGGUUCCCAGCGACGUCGACCAGGCUAUUCGGUUGCUUUUCCGAGAAUACUGAUGUUGGUACUCUUGCCGAUGUUGGUUGAUUACUGCGUCGAGCGCGUAGCCUUGGCAUUGCGCUUCAAAAUUAAAAUUAUGGAAGUACCCUCGUUGGUAUUUAUAAGUCUGUGGUUUGGUAUUUAUGUCAUUUUUCUAUGUCUGCCUUCAGAAAAGUACAAUAGGUCUGCCUUCAGAAAAAUACAAUAAUGUGUCAUGAAAGAAGAGAGAAUUUGAAGAUCUCAAAGAUUUAAUCGUUUCUUUUAGAUUUUAUUUUGUAAUCACUGGACCAUCACUACUGGAAUCAGCUUCCUUGCCGUCUACCGACUCUUUGCCGUCAGCUAGCUGACGACAAAGAAAGGAUUUGCCAUCAACCACCGUAAAACGAACGACAAAGAAGCAGUGGACGGCAACGAAAGGCUUUGCCAUCAGCAUAUCUUUGCCGUCCGCUAGCGGACGGCAAAGAGGAUGGGUGGUGGGCUUACGAGGAUGACCUAACGACCAUUUUCUUUGUCGUCUGCUGACGGACGGGAAAAGUACUUUGCCAUCAGCCAGCGGACGGCAAAGAAAGUGGCCGUUAGGUCGUCCGUUCCCCCCGGCCCCACCCCACUAGGUACGCUCUUUGCCGUCCGCGACAAAGAGUUGUGCCCUACUAGCUAGCUAGCAGAAAAGGGGCCGCGCCCGCGCCCCCUCGGCCCUCUCUGAUCUGUCCGUCCCCUGCCCGAGCCGCCGCCACCCCUCACCCCUGCCGCCGCCCUAACCAGCGCAGCCACCCCCGUCGCCGGCCGCCCCACGCCACCCCCGUCGNNNNNNNNNNNNNNNNNNNNNNNNNNNNNNNNNNNNNNNNNNNNNNNNNNNNNNNNNNNNNNNNNNNNNNNNNNNNNNNNNNNNNNNNNNNNNNNNNNNNNNNNNNNNNNNNNNNNNNNNNNNNNNNNNNNNNNNNNNNNNNNNNNNNNNNNNNNNNNNNNNNNNNNNNNNNNNNNNNNNNNNNNNNNNNNNNNNNNNNNNNNNNNNNNNNNNNNNNNNNNNNNNNNNNNNNNNNNNNNNNNNNNNNNNNNNNNNNNNNNNNNNNNNNNNNNNNNNNNNNNNNNNNNNNNNNNNNNNNNNNNNNNNNNNNNNNNNNNNNNNNNNNNNNNNNNNNNNNNNNNNNNNNNNNNNNNNNNNNNNNNNNNNNNNNNNNNNNNNNNNNNNCGGCCGCAUCGCACCGCCCGGCCCCGCCCCGUCGCCGCCCUGCCCCUCAUCGUGGUGAGUUUUUUUUCUGUUUUUUUAGAUUCAGUUUAUGUUUGUUUAGUUUAGGUUAAUUAGGUUAGUUUAGUUUAGGUUAGUUUAGGUUAAUUUAGUUUAUUUUAGGUGUCAUUUAGUUUAUAGUUUUGUUUAGUUUUUUUCUUGUUUUUAAGAAUAAUCGAGAAAGAUGAAAGAAAAAGAAAAAGAAGAAGAGGAAGAAGAAGAAGAAGAAGAAGAAGAAAGAACAAUAAGUAGUAGAAGAAGAAGAUGAUGAAAAAAAGAAGUAGAAGUUGAAGAUGAAAAAAAGUAGGAAAAGGGGCCGCCCGGGGACGAGCGGGUUAAUUAGGGGGUUCCUCGGUGUCGAUGGAACCCUAAAUAGCAAGUAUCGUCGGUGCGAGAUACAUGUGGCCGUCGGUGUCGAACACUACAUCCAUGUCCCACAAGUGACGCCGGAAGCAACUGUUCUCGGCGUCGAUGGCAGUCGAACACCAUCGCGAAUUUGUCUGGCAGCCUCUGCGAUGAAGAUUAAAAGGCAAGUGUUGAAACUUGAAACACCCAAACUGACUCAAGUCGGUUUGGUUGUUUGAAAUUUCAAAACUUGGCUUUAAUCCUCAUCGCAGAGGCUGCCAGACAAAUUCGCGAUGGUGUUCGACCGUGAUCGGCCACCAGAACUAUUGUUGCGGGACGCCGGGCGCCGGCUUCACUUGUGGAAUGUGGAUCUAGUGUUCAACGCCGAGCGCCACAUGUAUCUCGCACCGAUGAUACUUGCUAUUUAGGGUUCCAUCGACGCCACGGACCCCCUAACCCGCUCGUCCUGUUGUCAAUAUUUAGUUAGGUCGACGGAAGAAACAAAAUUGCUAUGUUACUCAUCUUUGGAUUUAAAUGUGCAGUUAUUUCGUCGCUGCGCGAGGGUCUAGUGUUCGACGAGCUCCGCCCCUGCGUUCGUUGGUGAGCACAAAUGAUGUCUCCCGAUGAAACUUGCUAGCUAUAGGUGUCAAUCAUCAGUAUGCGUAACCACUAUGCGUCUCCCGUUCGAAAGGGUUACAUCUAUAAAUAUGCAUGCAUUUGCAUAUUUAUAAUCGUGAUUCUUUCGAAUUGUCCAACGUUAUCCAUGGACAGCCCGAGUAUGUGUAGAUUGGGUUCGUUUUCCCAUAUGCUCUGCUCCGGAUCCGAUGCAGAAUUUCGUCAGUGCCUCCCUGUUGUUCUUCGGGUACACAUCCUCUCUGCUUAUUGCCGACACAUGUAUCAGGAGAACAGCGGGGAGGUGCUGCCAAAAUUUUGCGUCGGAUCCGGAGCAGAGCAUGGGAAAACGAACCCAAUCUACACAUACUCGGGUGGGAUUAGGACCUACCUUUACCUAUUAGCGUGUAGGUUGCAUGGACGUAAUAAAGCUGACAAACUCCAUGAACUGAUGGAUAUGGUUUGCUUAAUUAUGUAUAUAUUUCUUGUGUGUCCAGUAGGAAGUCAAUAUGAGUGAUCGUGCAUGGAUGUACACCGGUUACACUAUUCAGAAAGUUUGGACCGAGGAAUGGUUAACAAAAACCAAGGGGUUUGUUAGAGCCGCAUUUGCAAAUGGCCAGGAAUUUAGCUGGUGCCCCUGUGCCCGUUGCGACAACUAUAAAAAGAGGGACAAGCUUGAAAUGAGUAAAGACCUGUAGAAGUUUGGUUUUACGCCUGGUUACAUGGUCUGGACAUUACAUGGUGAGUCUUCCCAACGUGCCAGAGCCGAGGUUCAUCGACGCACCGACGAGCAUGGUACCGGGACCGCAGACAUGGUGCAAGACUUUGACGAUGCUCGGGACUCGUACGAGGAGAUGGAGGAAUCUGCAAAGGCCUUCACUGAAAUGUUGGAGUCCUCAAAACGUCCUCUCCAUGAGCACACUGAGCUUUGUUAGCUGGAUGCCAUCUCACAAAUAAUGGCUUUGAAGGCUCAAUUCAACUUGGGCAGAGAAUGCUACGACGCGAUGGUGACAGUAUUCAGACGAUUUCUACCCAAAGGCCAUGUGCUACCUCCAAACCUGUACCAGUCAGACAAAAUCCUCCGUGCUCUUAAGAUGCCCUAUGAGAAGAUACAUGUCUGUGAGAAAGGAUGUGUCUUAUUUAGGCUUCAGUAUGAGGACUUGAACUAUUGUCCCAUUUGCAAUUCUUCCAGGUAUGUUAUGGUAGACAACGGUAUGGGUGAGAAGACGCAGACCAAAAUACCCGUUAAUGUUCUUCGGUAUAUGCCAAUCGUACCAAGACUUCAACGUCUUUUCAUGGUCGAAGAGACGAUCAGACAGAUGACAUGGCACAAAACGGGCAAAAGAACCGAACUAGAUGCAGAUGGGAAUGUGAUGAUGGUGCACACAUCGGAUGGUGAAGCGUGGAAGCGCUUCGAUGCAUUACAUAAGGAAAAAAGGGCAGAUCCAAGGCAUCCUCGAGUCACCGUUAGCACAGAUGAGUUCAGUGUGUUUGGUCAGAUGGCAACCCCAUACAACUGUUGGCCCGUAUUUGUCAUUCCACUCAAUCUCCCCCCCCCCCCGGGUAGAUUAUGCAAAGAAAGAAUAUUUUCCUGACAUUGAUAAUUCCAGGGCCCAACUAUCCUGGGAAGAAUAUGAAUGUGUACAUGCAGCCGCUUAAGGACGAAUUGCAAGAAGCUUGGGAUAAUGGGUUCAAGACAUACGACGCCUUUAGCAAACAGAACUUCAUAAUGCGUGCCUGGUACAUGUACUCGACGCAUGACUUGCCGGCGUAUGCGCUAUUCGUUGGCUGGUGUGUGCAUGGAAGGUUCCCGUGCCCCACAUGCAAGGGAGCUCUUGAGUUUCAUUGGUUGACGGCAGGGCGCAAGUAUAGUUGCUUCGACUUGCAUAGACCGUUUCUACAUCCUGGCGAUAAGUUCAGGAAAGACAAGAAGAACUUCAUCAAAGGCAGAGUUGUCAAACACUCUGCACCACCUGCGUUGACAGGCCAACAGACCCUAGAUCAGUUAAACGCUCUCGAGCCAGAUCCAGAGCGUCUAGGGUAUUUCAAGGGGUAUAAUAAGGAACACGCCUGGACUCACAAGACAUGCUUCUGGGAUGUGCCUUACUUCAAAGACCUCCUUUGCCCACACAGCAUCGACGUGAUGCACACUGAAAAGAAUAUCGCCGAAGCCAUUUUUGGUACAUUGUUCGGCAUAGAAGGGAAAUCAAAGGAUAAUGCUAAGGCUAGAGUCGAUCAAGAGGAGCUAUGUGAUAGACCGUUACAAAACAUGAAAGAACCAAAAGGAAAGGGGAUCAAUUGGACGAAGCGAAAGGCAUGGUUCAAUCUUGGAAGGCUAGCUAUGAAGGAAAUUAUUUUGUGGGUGAAAAUGCAGUUGAUGUUCCCCGAUGGGUAUGCAGCAAAUCUAAAGAGGGGAGCGAAUCUUCAAAAAUUGAAAAUAUUUGGUCUAAAAAGUCAUGAUUGGCACAUAUGGAUUGAGCGGAUAAUGCCGGUGAUGUUGCGUGGCUUCAUCCCUGAGGAUAAAUGGCUAGUACUGGCAGAGCUGAGCUAUUUCUUCCGUGUUCUUUGUGCGAAAGAACUAUCGCCUGGCCUCAUAGAAGAAAUGGAAUAGUUGGCGCCGGAGUUGAUCUGCAAGUUAGAGAAGAUCUUUCCGCCAAGCUUCUUUAAUCCAAUGCAACACUUGAUUUUGCAUCUCCCGACCGAGGCACGAUUGGGGGGGGGCGUGCAAAAUCGUUCGUGCUACUCAAGUGAGAGGAUGCAGAAGAUGCUUCGAGCAAAAUGUAAAAAUAAACAUAGAAUAGAAGCAUCGAUGGCGGAGGCAUUCAUCACUGAGGAGGCGGCAAACUUCAUGACAGCACACUACGAAGCCAAAAAUCGUCAUUUGCAUAAUCCGAAGCCUCGGUACAAUGCUGACGAACCUCAAAAGGGUCAAUCCAACCUCAGCCUAUUCAAAGGGAAUCUCGCACCAGCCGGUGGUUGGAAACCAGUAAGGUUGGAUGUUGAAGAAUGGCAGACCAUUUCGCUGUAUCUCUUCAACAAUCUAACAGAAGUGCGGCCGUACAUCGAGUAAGAUCUCGGUACAUUGUUUCACAACUUCUAAUUCCUUUCAACUUCUCUUAUUCCUGGAUAUUUGAUGCAGUCGAUACGUCGCCAUAUUCUCGUAUGGAGCGGUGAUCCAAAAGGACUCCGUCGAAGAGUAUGAGCUUCUGGCAAAACAAGGAGCCGAAUAUCCCGGUUUCAUCUCUUGGUUCAAAAAAAGGUAAUUUCCAUUAGACCCUUUCUUUUCUUUGGCUAAUUUAUGGCUAAUGCAACAAUCCUUUCGUAUUAAACUUGUAGGCUAAUUCAGAGAUUAUGGAUGCCGAAUUGAGACAAGUAGCUAAUGGUUUUGACUAUAAGGUCCGUUCAUUUCACAAAUACGACAUCAACGGGUAUCGCUUUCGUACGUAUGGCAAAGAGCUAUCUAUGGCCGACCGAAAGUCUACAAAUUGUUGUGUCUCUGCUAUCGGCGAAGGAGGUAUCGAGUAUUAUGGAAGAGUUGAAGCAAUUUAUGAACUUGAAUUCUAUGGUGAAAACCCACCAAACGUCGUAGUCUUCAGAUGUUAUUGGUUCCAGCCGAGGGAGACUAGAAGGACUCAUGAACAUAUAGGGCUAGUUGAAAUCAAACAAAGCACCCAUUUGGAUGUUCCCGAUGUCUAUAUUACGGCUCAACAGGCAACCCAAGUUUUCUAUCUACUGUGUGCCUGUCAAAGUGAUCCAAAUCUCAGUGGUUGGGACGUCGUUUAUGAAGUGCCGCCACGUGUUAGACCACCUCCCCCCAAUGAAAAGUAUUAUGAACCUCACAUUAACCAAGACACAUAUAACGAAGGAGAAUUCUUCCAAAAAACACGUCUUUCCAAAAAAGUUUCAAGAACCGCUCUACUCCACCCAGAAUAUUGAACUAGACAACGAUAGUGAAUCCGACUUCACCCCUGAGCCGGAACAAGAAGAGCCGGAAGAAGAAGAAGUUACUGCUGCAGAUGACCUGUCAAUGCUUGAACAAUUACGUAAAGGUGGCCUUCCACAUGAUGAUGCAUUUAUUAAUGAUGAUGAUGAGCACGUCAGUACCGAUAGUGAUGAUGAUGAUGCUUUUAUUAAUGAUGAUGACGAGCACGUCAUUACCGAUAGUGAAUAUUAGGUAUUCAAAUUUUUACGUUGUACUUGAUUUAUAUAGUUAUUUGUAUGAUUGUAUGCUUUAUAUAGUUGCUAUUUAUAAUUUUCUUACUUUGUAUGAUUGUUUCUUAUACAUAGUGCCAUGGUCUUGAUGUCCGCCCCGGUCGGCCCUCGCCUGCUUUAUGAUUCGGAUGUGGUAAAUUCUCUUUCAUAACUAUUUGUUGCAUUUCGCAUUUAUGACAAUUAUGGCCAUCAAGUUGACAUAGAGAUAUUUUAAUCUAGGAGGUAUGUGAACCGGAAUUUGAAACGGACCCUCUUGUCGAGAAGUUAAAUUUAGUUGAAAAAAAUGAGUAUUUGAAAGAAAAAAUUAAAAGAAUUGAAGAAGAGAAGAUGACAUUGUAGUUGUAUGUUGCCGAUGUCAUCGAUGAUCACAAGAUGAAGAUGAAUGCAAUGCGCUUGAAGAUGGAUGCAAUCCGCCUGAAGCUUAAGAAGAUUAGAAAAUAUGCCAUUGAUAAUGAGGCUUGGUAUCAUUAUGCCGUUGGAUCAAUUGUUACCUUAGUUGCGAUCUUCAUCACAUUUGUUGUGAUGAGGGUAAGUUUUCUCUAGUGUUUUGCUUUACAAAUGGAUACUUAGCUUAUUUUCCUCCUAAAUGGCAUAAUUACCUAAGUUAGGUAAAAAAUGAGCUAUACUUAGCUUAUUCAGUUCAUUUAUGACAUACUUAGCAUACUUAGGUAAAAAAUGGCAUGAUAAUCUUUGUUAGCUCCUAAAUGAUAUAGACUUAGCUUAUUUUCCUCGAAAAUGACAUAAUAACCUUACUAAGCUCGAAAAUGACCUAUUUACCUAGCUUAGCUCUAAAAUGACCUACACUUAGCAUUUUUACGUAGCUUAGCAAUAAAAUGAAAUUUUUACCUACCUUAGUUAGAAGAAGAAGAAGAUAAAGAAGAGGAGAGGAGAAAAAGAAAGAGAAGAAAAAAAAAUCUUCUUCUUCUUCUAACUAGUCUUCUUCUUCUUUUUCUUCUAACUAGUCUUCUUCUUCUUCUUCUUCUUCUAACUUUUAUGUUUUCCAAUUUGCAGAUUUGCUUUACAUGAGGAAGCUUGGAUUCAUGGAGUGUACUAUUCUUCUGGUGCUUCCUUGUUGUUUAUGGAAACUUGUUUGGAUAUGUUGUUGGAAACUUGUUUCUGGUUAUGUAUAUAUGGAUAUGUUGGACUUUGUUGACCUAUGUUGUUGGAUUUGAUGAAAUAUGUUGUUGGACAUGCUGUUGGAUAUGUUGGAUAUGUAUGCAUGUAUAUCUGUUUGAAACCAUGUCUAAUUAAUGGGAUUUAAAUAAAAACGGGAGAUAUAUAGCCUCUUUGCCGUCCGCUAGCAGACGACAAAGAGGACACGUGGCAGUCACCUGUGCAAACUGGGAACACUGGCUGCCUAUUUGGUCAUUUUCUCGUCCGCCAGCAGACGGCAAAGUGACCAUCUAUGUCGUCUGCCAGCAGACGGCAAAGAUUCAAACCUCUUUGUCGUCUGCUGGCGGACGACAUAGAUGGACACGUGGCAGCUUUCCAGUUCUGCCUGGCUGAGCUCUUUGCCGUUUGCCAGCGGACGGCAAAAAAGCGCCGUUAACCCCCUAACGGCGCUCACGCCACAGUACUGCCGUCCCCUAUCUUUGCCGUCUGCUGGCCUCGAUCGGCGGACGGCAUAAUUCUUUGCCAUCCGUUUCUAGAAAGCAGACGACAAAGAAGGCCUUUGCUGGCACGUGCUCAUCCGGACAGUUUGCCGUCCGUGAUCCAUGCCUUUGCCGUCCGCCAUGGCGGACGACAAAGAAGCUGAUUCCAGUAAUGCAUGUACUAUUCGCCACUAUAAAUGUAUCGUGGUAUUGAUUAUCCAAAAGAAACAUGGUCAUAAGGAAGAAAAGCUGAAGUGGCCCGGAAGAAAAUCCUAUGCAAUGCUCCCAAUCAAUCGUUGGAGGCAACGAAUAGGCAUAGAUGAAGUGACCUUGAUCCAUUUCAAACCUAGUGCUAUCACUAACACUUUUGUUAAUUAUUUUCGUUAUAUUUUCUCAUCUCCCAAUAAUAAUGCUGAUAGGCCUUAUCUUGAUACACAUUGGCCUAGUGACUCUCUGGAUCCUACCUAUGCUCUUCCUGAUAAACAUGAGGUUUUACAGAUUCUCAAAUAAAUGAAAUUGAAUGCUUCUCCAGGGCCAGAUGGGUUUAAUGUUGAAUUUUAUUUGGCGGCCUGGGACUGGAUAGGAGAUGAAGUCACUCAACUUGUCAUUAAUUUUUACACUACUGGUAUUUUGCCUCCACAUAUUAAUGACACUAACAUUGCUCUUAUUCCGAAAAAGCUUGUGCCUCAAGUUCCCAUGGACUAUCGCCCUAUUAGUCUUUGUAAUGUUGUUUACAAAAUCAUUGCGAAGUCGCUUGCUAAUAGGAUCAAGCCUCAUCUUCCUGAUUAUAUUGAUCCUGCUCAACAAGCUUUCAUUGAGGGUAGACGUAUUAGUGAUAACAUCAUUAUUGCCCAGGAGAUUGCCACUCUUUCUCUCUUAAAUCUUGGAAACACAGUGCUUUCAUGCUUAAGAUAGAUCUAGCCAAAGCUUUUGAUCGUCUAGAAUGGAAUUUUAUUGUGACUGCUCUUGCUCGUAAAGGGCUGCAUGGUCACUUCAUUAAUUUAAUUCAUGCAUGUGUUUCUUCUCCUAUGUUCUAUGUGCUGAUUAAUGGACAACCCUCUCAUAAGUUUAGGAGCUUUCAAGGUAUUCGUCAGGGCUGUCCAAUGUCUCCUUAUUUGUUUGUUAUUGCCAUCAAUGAAUUAUCUAUUGCUCUCAACGAAGCUCUUGCUGCUCAUCAUUUGCAGGGUAUUUCGCUUGGACCAAAUUGCCCUUCAAUUCACUCUUUGUUAUUUGCAGAUGACUUGUUGGUUUGUGGGCAAGCCAGUCUUCAAGAGGCUCACACUAUUGCUCAUCUUAUUAAUCAUUUUUGUUCUAUCUCAGGUCAAACUCCAAAUUGGGCCAAAUCAGCCAUUCUUUUCAGUUCUCAUGUUCCUCAAGCUAUGAUGCAGGAUAUUAAGCAGAUUUUCCCUGUUUCUAAUUUGGAUAGCAAUUUCACUCAUCUUGGUCAUCCACUUGUUCUUCCUGCAAAAAAUAGAGCUGCUGCAUAUAACUUUGUUCUAGACAAAUUUCUGAAUAAGUUGCCCACUUAUAAAGCUAACAUGCUUUCUCAUGCUGACAGACUUGAAUUGAUUCGCUCGGUUUUCUCGGCUAUCCCUGUCUAUUACAUGGCUAAUAUCUUGUUUACGAAGAAAUUCAUUGUUAAGCUUACUGCUGUUAUUAGGAAUUUUUGGUGGACAGGUGUUCGAGAAAAUGACUCAAAACGAGUCUUUGCCUUAGAGCAUGGAAUGACAUUUGCAAUUCAAAAGAUGAAGGUGGCUUAGGUGUCAGAAAUUUAAAAGCUAUUAAUGAGAGUCUUCUUCUUUCUGCUACCUGGAGGUUAGCCAAGUUCCCUUCUUCUUACUUGCAUCUUGUGCUUAAGGCUAAGUACUUUCAUGAUGCUUCUAUCUGGACAGCUACUGCUAUUUCUCCCAAAUCAGCUUUCUGGGCCUCUAUUUUGAAAUUGUUGCCUAAACUUAAAGCUCAUUCUUUUUAUCAAUUAUCUCAAGGUAAUAUUUCAAUUUGGAGCACACCUUGGUGCACUCUUUGGAGCUCGGUUCAUGAUCAUCUUAUUGCUCAACAACCUGGUUUUAUAUAUCCUUCUUUAGUUAAAGAUCUUUGGCUUCCAGGUCAAAAAAGUUGGAAUCAUGAUCUUCUUUUCUCCCUUUUCCAGCAACCUUUGGCCUCUCUCAUUGUUCAAACUGAAAUUACUAGUUGAACGCCCGUGCGUUGCCACGGCAUAAAAAAACAAUGCUUAAACAUAUAUUCUAAUUAAAAAAGUGUGUUGUAAUCAAAUGUAGUUUUUCCAUACAACAACAGAAUCAUUCUUUGACCCCGCGCAUUUCCCCCUCGGCAAUUUUCAUAUCUCGUUAUCGGCCAUCUCCUUGCAAGAAGAUAAUUAAAGCAUCAUCUUUCUCCCCUACCCUUCUUCCUUCCACCUUCAUUAUCGUCACCAUCUCUAAGCACUGCUUAUAAAUCCUGUACUGGUACAAAAUAUUAUUAUUUCAUCAAAGAUUCUUUUGAUGCUCUUUUUGACGGUCAGCAAUUUGAAUAGGUGCAUGCAAGAGAUGGGACUGUCGAAGAGGUACGCGAAGAGGGUGACGUGAGAGGAAAGGUAUAGACUCGCUCCCGCGACGCGCCCCGUGUGCGCGUCACGGGAGAAACCCUAGUGCUGCCGGUGGGCUUCCCCUCCUCCUCCCUCCUCUCCCUCGCCGCCAGAGAGGGUGCGCCGGGCGAAGCCUGGUAGGCGCCGGUGGCGGCGGGGCUGCCUUGUCUCCUCGGCGGGUCGAGGCGCCUGCCUGGGAUGCGGCGCUGGCGGUGAGCGCGACAGCGAGGCGACGAGCUGGAGCCUGCUGGCGGCGUGACCGGCGCGGCGGUGGCGGGCGUGCCUUGGUCGCCAGGGCCGGUGGGGUCGAGGCCGGAUCUGGGGCCCGGCGGCGCGGGCAGCUGGUCUCUGCCCCUGCCAUGGCCACGACGGGUGGUGGUGCGACGCGGGAGCGGUUGGCCGGUGGGCGGGCUGGCCGGGAUCCGAAGCUUCGGCGGCUGGACGACAGCGGGCCGCGCAGAUGGGCUCCUCAGUAAGCUUCCUUCGUGAUUGGUGGCGACCCUUGGGAUCUCUCCUUGCCGGCGGGCGGGUGUAUGUUGUUGGCCUCGCGUGGAGCUGCGGUCGCCGCCGAGGUGGGGCGACACCGAGUUGUUCGGUGGGGAGAUAUGCUGGAGGGACGGGAGGCACCGCCGAGCCCGGGCCACCCGUCGCUGGCACGGGGAUGUGAUGCCGAGCCCAGGCCACCCGUCGCUGGCAUGGGGAUGUGCCGGCCCCGAUGCAUCCGCUCCCCCUCCUCACCCGUUCCCCGGCCAUGUGUGGGCUGGCGCAACUCCGGCGUUGCUCGAGGCGGGACGUAUGCCGUGGUUUCUUCGGUCGGGUGCGCCCGUUGGCACAAAGCUGGUCACUUGGCGGCCCCGGCGUCGGGAGGCACGACGUUCGUGGGCGGGACUUGCGCCUCGGGUGCGGGCGAGCGGCCAUGGCCACGCGGGUGGGUGGUCGCUGGUGGUUGACGGAGCUAGGUUGCAUCGGACGGGUGGACGUGCUGGGGUUCAUCACCUGCCCAAUCUUGUAUUGACUGACGGUGGCGGCGUCCGUGGACACUGUAUCCUUCUUGUAGGCUCCGUCGCGGUGGCCUUUCUCCUUCAAGUUGCUCCGGGUGAAAACCCGAUCUUUGGGAUCGGAUGGUGGCGGCUAUCGUGGUCGUUCCCUUCUUGGGGACACCAUCUUGGAGUCCUGGUUCCGUCGUUCCCGUCUCACCUCCCCUCGGAGGAGGAGGUCUCCGGUGGCUCCAAGCAGUUCGUGCUCGCGCAUUUGUGACACAUUGUGCAUAACCUAGACUGUGAUCAAGAGUGGCCGGUUGUGAAAGAGAGUAAUCAGUGACGUGUUCUUGACUGCAUAAAGAGAAUAUAAUGAAGGGAGGAGCUUAUACUAUCCUACAAUAAAUAAACACAAAAGCUAGUGAUGCAGAUCAGACAGAUAGAUGGUAAGAAAAAAAUCCACGUACUUGUCAAAGGUAAAUUUUAGCCGUUUAUUUUGAAAUGUGUUCCAUUCAUCAAGCUGAUUUGCCUCAAUGUCAACAAGCAAGUUGAUGAACCAAAAAAAAAA
rnacentral:lncRNA from 1 species